rnacentral:lncRNA from 1 species
GGGCAGUUGUAGAUAAGAGGCUCACAGAAGUGCCCCCCAGCCAACGUCCUAACAGGGGCCCCGGCAGGGUGUUACACCCACCAGUACAGAGCUUAUCUGUCUGCAGGUUCCAGCAUCAUCGCGUGACUCUCAUUGCCCAUCUCCACUCUGCCCUGCUGCUGGUUACUCUGCCUUGAGAUGUGAACUUCCAAAGUUUUUCAACCUAGAAGCAAACAAUGACAUACACAUAUAAUGAAAUAUGUUCUCAAAGAAUAAACACAUGGAAAGAGUCACUUCUAGGAUUCACACAAAAUUUCUUGUCAUCAAUAUUGAGUUUGCUUCAUGGUUUAUAACAUUCAUCUUAAUGGAGCACCAAGUUGGCAUUCUACUGGAGACAUUUAUUUAUUUUUAGUUGAUGUUUAUAUUGGAAGGAUGAUUUAGUGUCUGCCUGUUUUUGUAUCACUGACAUAGCAUUUGACAAGCAACCUUUCACAAACUAAGCGAAUAUGAUUGGGCAGAAUUUCAAAAUCUAUCAAACACCACUGCUAAGUUUUUAUUUAAUCACAAAAUAAAAGUUUUAUACUACCACCUAGAAAACUUUAAGAUGUUUUUCUUUAUUUCUAGUAUUGUCUAGCAUGUGUUUUAUACAUCAAAGGUUUU